rnacentral:rRNA from 1 species
CCCUUAGAUGUUCUGGGCCGCACGCGCGCUACACUGACGAAGUCAGCGAGCAUGUCCUACGCCGACAGGUGCGGGGAAUCUUGUCAAACUUCGUCGUGAUGGGGAUUGAUUAUUGAAAUUCUUGAUCAUCAACGAGGAAUUCCUAGUAAGCGCAAGUCAGCAGCUUGUGUUGAUUACGUCCCUGCCCUUUGUACACACCGCCCGUCGCUACUACCGAUUGAAUGGUUUAGUGAGAUCUUCGGAUUGGCGCCACUGCGGCUCAGCAAUGGGCUCGGUGGAUGCCGAAAAGUUGAUCAAACUUGAUCAUUUAGAGGAAGUAAAAGUCGUAACA